GAAGUAAACAAUACUUUAUGUAUAAGGAACAUAGAGGCGUUCCCAGUUUUCAGGCCCAAGAACCACUGAAAAAGUUAAAUGAUCAUUGCAUCCAUUUCACCUCCCGGUGGAACUCCUCCUUCAAAGUUGUUGUUUCAAGAAAACUAAGUAUUUACAAUCAUGCUAUGUGGUGGGUGCAGCAUUCAAAUGGGACAUCUCAUCACCUGUUUGCCUCUCUGAAGCUCUGAAGGUGUCUUUCCUAGGAAGUUGUCAACGUAAUUAAAUCAGACAAACCUCAGGGUUACCAUUGCUUUUGACAGUGUGGAGUUACAAUGUGACAGACUUUGACUCUGCAGGAGGAUUCCACAGCAGCUUCCAUCAUUUCUAAGCUUCUACUAUACCCAAGCUUCUAUCACACACUAAGCAAUGUGAUCUCCCAUUACACAGCAUACUAAACUCUCUAUACAGGAAAUCAAACUUUCCUACAUUGUACGAACACAUCAUUCGUUUGUUUCGGCUUUCAAGUCUUUAUGCUUUCUUUUAUUUCCACUUGUAUUGCCUGUCAUAUUAUCCUCUUCAACUACCCAGGUUCCUGCCAAACUUAAAAAUUCACUUCCUUGAAAAUGCCUCAAAGGUUAUCUAUGUAUUAUUUUUUAGAGUUUGCUUUCUAUGUGUCACUGUUUCAAUCAUUUUAUGCACAUAUUAUUAUUUCUGACUUCUCAAAAAGAAAGUGGAGAAUAAUUAUUCCUAUUUAAGAGUUGAGAAAAUUUGGCUCAGAGCAGUGAAUAACUUACCUAAGUGUGCACUGGGAGUGAGUGGAGAAACCAGUUUUGAAAGAAUUCAGUCUAAUUUAAAGAUUAAACUCAUUCCUACCUUACUCAUCAUCCUAUCAGGGCUAUAGUGCACACACAUGCACUCACACAUACACAGAAGUGUUCAUGCACAUAAAGUCUUAUAUAACUGAUACAAUUAAUAACACAUUUUUGUUUAAUAAUAACAAUACGUAUAUGUUCUUACAUCACUUUCCUGUGCAAUGGGAUCCAUUUCUCUCAAGAAGGUAUGAAUGACAUUUCCUUAAGCAACUGCAGAGAACCCUCUUAGCAAAUGGAGUGGUCUCUUGGUUAAUAGUGCGGAUUUCAAAAUCAGACUGCAUUCUACCACUAGCAACUUUACAGCAUUGCCAAAGGACUUGGCCUCAGAGCUUCAGUUUUGUCACUUUGAAAUACCAAUAAACUUUUUUGAAAAUUAGUUGAGAUAACA
rnacentral:lncRNA from 13 species